rnacentral:misc_RNA from 1 species
UAGUGCCUCCACUGCGUCCAAAUCCUACAUUUUAACAUGUAUAAGCAUGUCAAAAGCAGUAGAAAAUGUUAUCAAUGUCGUAUUGAUGCAGGAUUCCAGAAAAAGGUUGCUUCAAAGGCUGCAAUUGUAUCAACUAAAAACACAGGAAUAUGUCUGCUCUAUGAGGUUUAACAUCGACAAUGUGGGAUUUUGCUAAAUAAGCAUUUGCAAUGCGCAAGCCAAUAUGUUAACAGUUGUAUUUAUCCCUACAAAAACCAUAUGCAAAAUUUCUAACUCUCUAUCAAAAGAAAGCUUCACUAAACAAAUAUAUAAUUUGGUAAAGCUCACGCUCAAAUGUUCUCCAAGCAUGAUUAUAUGCCAUGUUUCAUAACCUUUUUUCUCUAGUAUAAUUAUUGAAAGUCGCAGAAUAAUGCAAUUUGCAUUAAAUAAAACGUGCUCUUCCUUGAGAUUCAUCCCAUCAAAUUAAAAAAAAAAAAUAUGCUCAUCAAAUAAUAAAAUGAAAACUAAAUAAUUUCAGAACAGCAAAUUUGGGAACCUUAGCAGUCUUUCCCCUGCAAAAGCUCAUUGCAAAGGUUCCAAAAUCCCAACAACAUCUAGUGAAAAAAAAAAAUUGAGAAAGG